rnacentral:rRNA from 1 species
AUAAGGAGGGGGCAAGCGUUGUUCGGAAUUAUUGGGGGUAAAGAGCAUGUAGGGGGACUAUUAAGUCUGGUGUGAAAGCCCGGGGCUCAACCCCGGAAGUGCAUUGGAUACUGGUAGUCUUGAGUAUGGGAGAGGAAAGUGGAAUUCCGAGUGUAGGAGUGAAAUCCGUAGAUAUUCGGAGGAACACCAGUGGCGAAGGCGGCUUUCUGGACCAAUACUGACGCUGAGAUGCGAAAGCGUGGGGAGCGAACAGGAUUAGAAACCCUAGUAGUCC